GUCCCUGUAGCACAAUGGACAGUGCGUUGGACCUAAUACAAAGGUUCGAAUCCCACCUGGGAUG